rnacentral:rRNA from 1 species
AUUGAACGCUGGCGGCAGGCCUAACACAUGCAAGUCGAACGGUAGCACAGAGGAGCUUGCUCCUUGGGUGACGAGUGGCGGACGGGUGAGUAAUGUCUGGGAAACUGCCCGAUGGAGGGGGAUAACUACUGGAAACGGUAGCUAAUACCGCAUAACGUCGCAAGACCAAAGUGGGGGACCUUCGGGCCUCACACCAUCGGAUGAACCCAGAUGGGAUUAGCUAGUAGGCGGGGUAAAGGCCCACCUAGGCGACGAUCUCUAGCUGGUCUGAGAGGAUGACCAGCCACACUGGAACUGAGACACGGUCCAGACUCCUACGGGAGGCAGCAGUGGGGAAUAUUGCACAAUGGGGGAAACCCUGAUGCAGCCAUGCCGCGUGUAUGAAGAAGGCCUUCGGGUUGUAAAGUACUUUCAGCGAGGAGGAAGGCGUUGUGGUUAAUAACCGCAGCAAUUGACGUUACUCGCAGAAGAAGCACCGGCUAACUCCGUGCCAGCCGCCGCAGUAAAAC